GAACGCGAAGAACCUUACCCGGGAUUGAAAUGUAGAUGACAGGCGGUGAAAGCUGCUCUCCCUUCGGGGCAUCUAUGUAGGUGCUGCAUGGUUGUCGUCAGCUCGUGCCGUGAGGUGUCGGCUUAAGUGCCAUAACGAGCGCAACCCCUGUCUACGGUUGCCAUCAGGUGAUGCUGGGAACUCCGUAGAGACUGCCGUCGUAAGGCGUGAGGAAGGUGGGGAUGACGUCAAAUCAGCACGGCCCUUACAUCCGGGGCGACACACGUGUUACAAUGGUAAGGACAAAGGGCAGCUACCUGGCGACAGGAUGCGAAUCUCUAAACCUUAUCACAGUUCGGAUCGGAGUCUGCAACUCGACUCCGUGAAGCUGGAUUCGCUAGUAAUCGCGCAUCAGCCAUGGCGCGGUGAAUACGUUCCCGGGUCUUGUACACACC
rnacentral:rRNA from 1 species